rnacentral:tRNA from 1 species
AGUCCCGUGGUGUAGAGGACAAGCAUACCGGACUUUGAAUCCGGGGACGGCAGUUCGAAUCUGCCCGGGGCUG